rnacentral:tRNA from 1 species
UGACUCAGAUGGUAGAGAGUCUGCCUGUAAUGCAGGAGAUCCAGGUUCGAUCCCUGG